rnacentral:rRNA from 1 species
AUUGAACGCUGGCGGCAGGCCUAACACAUGCAAGUCGAACGAGUGGCGGACGGGUGAGUAAUGUCUGGGAAACUGCCAUAUGGAGGGGGAUAACUACUGGAAAAAGUAGCUAAUACCGCAUACAAUAGGCGGGGCCCAGAUGGGAUUGGCUCGUGGGUGGGGUAACGGCUCCCCUAGGGGACGGUACCUAGCUGGUCUGAGAGGAGGACCAGCCACACUGGAACUGAGACAUGGUCCAGACUCCUACUGGAGGCAGCAGUGGGGAAUAUUGCACAAUGGGCGCAAGCCUUAUGCAGCCAUGCCGCGUGUAGGAAGAAGGCCUUCGGGUUGUAAAGUACUUUCAGCGAGGAGGCGUUACUCGCAGAAGAAGCACCGGCUAACUCCGUGCCAGCAGCCGCGGUAAUUC